rnacentral:lncRNA from 1 species
CUUAAAGCCUGAAUUCUGUUAUCUCUGAGGUUUGCCAUUGCAUAUCAGAUUUAAUACAGACCCUAAAAAUAUAUGUUCUAGAAAUUCUUUCCUACACAAGGGUUUUUAUGCGUUUCCAAGCCCUACAGCUAUUGCCUCGUCAUUCUAGAGCUAACUGGGUAACUGGGGGAAACCCUGAUGUCAAAGCAAAAACAUCCCAAAGAAAAAAGCUAAGCAAACACUCGCUUUUCAUGUACAGAUUAGAGGUUAAAGUGUUCUAAUGAAACUGCACCUUUAAAUUAGUGAACCUGUGCUUUGUAGUUCUUCCCAAAUGCUCCUCUCCUCCCUGUAAUAAACCCUGUUCCUCUGCUCCUGCGGUUCAGAUUUUAAAGCUCUUCCUGAGCAGAUUUCUGUAUGAUGCAUCAUGGUUGAUCGUCAGGCUCAGAGGGUUUAAUUGAUGAGAUUUUGCUGUAUUUCUCCUGUAAUGAUCUGCUAUGUCCUGCUAUGAUUUUCUCUCAGGUACUCUCCAGGCUCUGAUAACUACGCUCUGGCUUGCUCCAUCGUGAUGGGCCGAUCCCCGCACACUCGCAACUCCCCCAACAACCAAUCAUAUUCCAGCGACUCCAGCUCCAGCUCCACACACUGGCGUCAAAAGUCCGUUCCUGAUGGAUAUAAUGCUAACCGCAGCUCCCCACUGAUUUCUGAGCGGCAGAAUAUGAAAGAUGGUGUGAGGGUUCCACCAACCUGGGCCAGAGUGGUGGAGGGAGAAGGAUCCAGCAGGAGUUCAGAUUCAACAAAAGCAAAGCCAGUCUUGAGCAACGCUGAUCAGCAUAGUGCAGCACUCUACCCCAACAACUCUAAGGUUUGUUGAUUAACUGUUUUAUAUUUACGUUCUUAUAUUAACUAAUAUUAAAUACUCUAUCAACACUGCUCAG